AUGGCGGCGGCGGCGGCCGAAGGUCUGGAGCGGAUCAAGAACGAGGCCGUCGACUUGGAGAACAUCCCUGUGGAGGAGGUGUUCGAGAACCUCCAGUGCAGCCCGGCAGGCCUCACCUCCAAGGAUGGCCAGGACCGCAUCGCCGUCUUCGGCCCCAACAAACUCGAAGAGAAAAAGGAGAGCGAGAUCCUCAAAUUCCUGGGGUUCAUGUGGAACCCGCUGUCGUGGGUGAUGGAGGUGGCGGCCAUCAUGGCCAUCGCGCUGGCCAACGGCGGCGGCAGGCCACCGGACUGGCAGGACUUCGUCGGCAUCAUCGCGCUGCUCCUGCUCAACUCAACCAUCUCUUACAUCGAGGAGAGCAACGCCGGCAGCUCGGCCAAGGCGCUCAUGGCCAACCUCGCCCCCAAGACCAAGGUGCUCCGCGACGGCAGGUGGAGCGAGCAGGACGCCUCCAUCCUCGUGCCCGGCGACAUCAUCAGCAUCAAGCUCGGCGACAUUGUCCCGGCCGACGCGCGCCUCCUGCUCGAGGGAGACCCGCUCAAGAUCGACCAGUCGGCGCUCACGGGCGAGUCGCUGCCCGUCACCAAGAACCCCGGCGACAGCGUCUACUCGGGCUCCACGUGCAAGCAGGGCGAGAUCGAGGCCGUCGUCAUCGCCACCGGCGUGCACACCUUCUUCGGCAAGGCGGCGCACCUCGUCGACAGCACCAACCAGGUCGGCCACUUCCAGAAGGUGCUCCGCGCCAUCGGCAACUUCUGCAUCGGCGCCAUCGCCAUCGGCAUGAUCGUCGAGAUCAUCGUCAUGUACUUCAUCCAGCACCGCCGGUACCGCGACGGCAUCGACAACCUUCUCGUGCUCCUCAUCGGCGGCAUCCCGAUCGCGAUGCCCACUGUGCUGUCGGUCACCAUGGCUAUCGGCUCCCACCGGCUGUCGAAGCAGGGCGCCAUCACUAAGCGCAUGACGGCCAUCGAGGAGAUGGCCGGCAUGGACGUGCUCUGCAGCGACAAGACGGGCACGCUCACCCUCAACAAGCUCAGCGUCGACCGCAACCUCAUCGAGGUGUUCGCCGUUGGCGUCGCCAAGGACGAGGUCUUGCUUUUCGCCGCCAUGGCAUCCAGAGUGGAGAACCAGGAUGCCAUCGACGCUGCCAUGGUCGGCAUGCUCGCCGACCCAAAGGAGGCCAGGGCUGGCAUCCUGGAGAUGCACUUCCUCCCCUUCAACCCCGUCGACAAGCGAACCGCGCUCACCUACCAAGACGUCGCCGACGGCACGUGGCACCGUGUCAGCAAGGGUGCUCCCGAGCAGAUCUUGGAACUGUGCAACUGCAGAGACGAUGUCAAGAACAAGGCGCACGCCAUCAUCGACAAGUACGCCGAGCGCGGCCUCCGGUCCCUCGCGGUAGCCAGGCAGGAGGUGCCGGAGAAGAGCAAGGACAGCUCCGGGGGGCCAUGGGAGUUCGUCGGCCUUCUGCCGCUCCUCGACCCGCCCAGGCACGACAGCGCCGAGACGAUCAAGCAGGCGCUCAAUCUCGGCGUCAACGUCAAGAUGAUCACCGGCGACCAGCUGGCCAUCGCCAAGGAGACGGGCAGGAGGCUCGGCAUGGGCACCAACAUGUACCCCUCAUCCGCCCUUCUCGGCCAGAGCGUCGACGAGUCCAUCGUGUCGCUCCCCGUUGACGAGCUCAUCGAGAAGGCCGAUGGGUUCGCCGGUGUUUUCCCCGAGCACAAGUACGAGAUCGUCAAGAAGCUGCAGCAGAUGAAGCACAUCUGCGGGAUGACCGGCGAUGGCGUGAACGACGCGCCAGCUCUGAAGAAGGCCGACAUUGGCAUUGCGGUGGCCGACGCCACCGACGCCGCCAGGAGCGCAUCGGACAUCGUGCUCACCGAACCGGGGCUCAGCGUCAUCAUCAGCGCCGUGCUGACUAGCCGUGCCAUCUUCCAGAGGAUGAAGAACUACACCAUUUACGCGGUGUCCAUCACCAUCCGUAUAGUGCUAGGGUUUAUGCUGAUCGCGCUGAUUUGGAAGUUCGAUUUCUCGCCGUUUAUGAUCCUGGUCAUCGCCAUUCUCAACGACGGCACAAUCAUGACCAUCUCCAAGGACAGAGUGAAGCCAUCCCCACACCCAGAUAGCUGGAAGCUGCCGGAGAUCUUCAUCACCGGCAUCGUCUACGGCGCCUACCUUGCCGUGACGACCGUGGUCUUCUUCUUCGCCAUGACCAGCACCGACUUCUUCAGCGAGAAGUUCCACGUGCAUUCCCUAAGGGGCAACAAGGAUGCGAUGAUGUCCGCCCUCUACCUUCAAGUGAGCAUCAUCAGCCAGGCCCUCAUCUUCGUCACCCGGUCGCGCCGCUGGUGCUUCCAGGAGCGCCCGGGGCUCUGGCUCUGCUUCGCCUUCGUCGUCGCGCAGAUCAUCGCCACCGUCAUCGCCGUGUACUGCAACUUGCCGUUUGCGCACAUCAGAGGCAUCGGCUGGGGCUGGGCCGGCGUGAUCUGGCUCUACAGCAUCAUCACCUUCAUCCCCUUGGACCUCUUCAAGUUCGCCAUCGGCUACGCGCUCAGCGGCAAGGCAUGGGACACCCUCUUCGAGAACAAGAUCGCCUUCACGAACAAGAAGGACUACGGGAAGGAGAAGCGGGAGCUGCAGUGGGCGACGGCGCAGCGGACACUGCACGGCCUGCCGACGGCGGACCCAGACAGCACGCCGCAGGAGAGGAGCAACUACGGCGAGCUCUCGGAGAUAGCCGAGCAGGCCAAGCGCCGGGCGGAGAUGGCCAGGCUGCGCGAGCUCAGCACGCUCAAGGGAAGGGUGGAGUCUGCGGUGAGGCUCAAGGGCCUCGACAUGGAGACCGUCGACAACCACCACUACACUGUAUGA
rnacentral:rRNA from 1 species